UAAACAUGUGGCCCAAAUAUCGACAACAUGAAGCGUCAAGAUUAGAAUUCUCGCCGUCUUCCUCUCGAUCCUUCGUUUGUGACGAUUCCGUUUCCGGUCUCAUCUGUUUUGGUCGAUCUUCCAGUAUAUUGGAUCCCAGGAUCGAUUUUUGUUUCCUAUUUGCGGAUCCUCACUUCGCGUAGGUGAUUUUGCGGUGUUCUUAAACCGGAUUCAGACUUGAUUUGCAUUCUUAAGCUUUACUGAUUCUGGGUUGAGGUUAUGUUAUCCAAAUCUCCUUUGCUCUGAUUUAUAACCUAAAACCGAGAGAUUGAGUUGUUCUUAUUUUACUGGUCGCAUGAUUUUCUCUCGAGACUCAAGAGAGUGUAUUUUCUUACUUGGUCACUAGAUUUGACAGAGAAGUAUAGGUUCUCUUUGAGUGAAUGUAUCGAGAUGAUGAUGUUGUUUGGUGGUAUGGUAAUUCAGAGCUUUGGUGGUCGCGUCAGAUAGAGUUUCUGAAGAAGUACAGUGCGCCAUCCGAAGGAGGACAACAAGUUCGGUACGACUUUGGACAAAGAAAAUUUGAGGGUUUUCCACCGUAUAAACCUUAAUUUGCUUCAGGCUUCACUUGGAGAAGAUGAGUUUCAUGGAGUGUUUGAUCGGAGUCGCCGGAGCCGGGGAAGAAGUUUGGUGAAGACUCUGGAUCUCACUGACCAUAAUAGUUGUACACGUGGAUUCCGCUUUUUCUAAUCUUCUCUUUUGUUGGGUUAGAAUUUUUUUUAUUUAUCCUCUCAACUUUAUGUCUCCCGUGUUUCUUCCGCUACGUCUCUUUCACACUCUCCCUUAACCUCUCGAAUGAAUUAUCUGUUCAGAUUAAA